GGUCCAGGCCGGGGGAAGGGUUUCUGGGAAGGGGCUCUAUCGCCUCAAGUAACUUGGGGCCCAAGAAAGGGUUAAAAUUGCCCCCCCACAGUGACUUCACUCAUUGGCUCAGGGUACUGUCAGUCAGCGUUCUGGAGGCGGGGCUUGCAGGUCAGCUCCCGGACUGCCCAGCGCCCCUCACCUGCCCCUCGACCCCAACACGAUUUCACUUCAGGGUUGCGCCCACACCCCCAUCUUGGUGAAGACACCUUCCUGAGUCCUGGAGGAGGAGCAGAUCCUGGCAUCCUGGCUUCCCCACUCACUCCAGCUGCCUGGCUUCCUGAUAGAUGACUUCCAGAUUGCGGGCAGACUUAACUCCUUGCUUGCCUGCCUGGUGGACUCUGAGGUGGUGACGCCGUGAACGGAAGAAGGAGGGAGGGACUCCAGCACCCCACUCCCAUCCUUGUGGUACGGAACUUAACACCUUGUGGCCCGGAACGCAAUCCCGGAACUUGAGCUGGUCAGAGCCCUGGAAGGCUGCCUGGUACUCGAGGAGGGACAUACAAAACCAGUCACCUAAGAACUGCAUAUAAUCCAGUCGCUCCCUUGCCAGAUCUUGGCUGUCUACCCCCUCCCCUCCAGUGCCCCCCCUCCUGCCACCCUCUGUGUCUCUCCUUGCACCCUUUGGCCACCCUCCCCCCACUGCCUCACCCCUGGUUGUUGCAGAGGCCCCUGGCUGAUACACAAGGCUGCGGAGAGCCAGGAAGUCUGGGUUCUGUGGCUGUCUCAGCCUUCUCCAUAUCCCGCCUCCGAGGCUCUGCCUCUCUUGCCUCCAGAGGGGCUCCUGCACCAAUCUGAGCUCCGGAGGGGGUAGCUACCCAACUGAGGCAGGGGAUGCUAGCCCCCUAUCCCGCCCCAGCUCCAGCUAGGACAAGAAACCCUGACUUCACUUCUACCUUAGUACUUCCCCUGGAAAACGACCCCUCCCAUCAGAUUUGCCCCCCACUUCUGCUGUGAAGGAAGUACCUCAGCCUAGGCAGGAAGGGGUUAACAGACUACCAGGCUGUACUAGAGAGCCAGGUGAGUCACCGCCCAUCUCAGCCUUCAGGUGUGGGUGGGUGGGGAAAAUGAGGGCCGCUGACCUAAGGGCUGCUUUUUAUUUUCCUGCCCCCUAGUGGUUAGAUCUGGUUUAGCAACUGCUGGCAAAAAACAUUUUCAGUUGGGAAUUAGAGGAAGAAAAGAUCUUGGGAGACCUCGCGAAAGCUCCUCCUAUGGAGUCCCCACGAUCCCCACCAUGCCAUUCCCACCUCAGAAGGCGGCCUCAGACCCUUCUAGAACCUUGCCCUAGGGACUCUGUUUAUAGAACCCAAGGGCCCAGACACCCAGAGGACAGGACACAAACUGAAGACACAGACCCUGUCCUGCCAGGGUCGUCAAUCUAAUAGAAGGGGUCAUUAGGAGGAAGCCUUCCUUCACCUUUUUUCUCUGUGCCCCAGGACUUCUCAGAGCUUACCACCACCACCCAAAUCCUAGUACCAAAUAUGAGACCUCUGGCAGGCCUCAGAGCUCCUACCUGCUACCCCUGCCCCCUUCAGCUUCCUUACUCUCCAGCCAAGCUGCUGUCUGGGUUUCUCCCUAUACAAAGACCCCUCUUGAGGGCUUCUAGGGGCUCACAACUUCCUUAUAUCCCCAGCGCGGCUCAGGCGCUUCCUCUCACCUACCAGGUAGCCCUCCCAGGUUAGCAAAAUCUACGAUCUUGAAGGAUUCCUUUUUUCUUUUCCUUUUUUUCUUUUUUAGUUGUAUGACUCACCAUCCUCUUCUCAUUUCCCAUUACUCUCUAGCUAAGACUUCCCUUUGCAUAGGAGUUCCCCCGACCAGGGGCAAUUCUGUCUUCUUUCCAGGCUGUAAUAUCUGACUUCACAUUUGCCUUUUCCUCCAGAAAUCCUCCUCUGACCAACUCCACCUAUUGAUUCAUUUAACAACUACUUCUUGAGGACCUACUAUGUGAAAGGCAUUGGACUAGACACUAGGUAUAUGUUAGUGAACAAGACAGAUAUGGCCCUGGGCACAGGCCCUGUCCUACCAGGGUCCUUAAUCUAAGAAGGGGUCAUUAGGAGGCUUUCCUUCACCCUUUUUCUCCCUGCCCUCAUGGAACCUACAAACUAGUUGGGGAAAGACAGUGAAUGGACUGGUGACUUCAAUUCAGUGUAUGAAAUGCUGGGGCACUUAGGAGAGACACAUAUCCUGGCAAAGUUUCCCGCAGGGGGUGGCAUCUUAGACUUCUUGCAGCCUAAGAUACGGGUUCUGUCCAAGCAGACAGUGCAUCUCACUGGGGGUCUAAAGAUGGAAGGGGACACUGGCAAGGAAUCUCCACCAGAAGUUAUCAGAAGUCUCUAAGGCUGCAUUCCCAAAGAACCCAUUUCUAAUAAAUUCUCCAAAUCCCCAAAGAAAGAAGACUCGGCUGAGAAUCAAGAGUAUGUGGCCUCAGCCUAGUCAGUCCCAGUCUCUGGGCCUCAGUUUCCUCAGCUGUAAAAUAAGAGGCUUGGAUGAGUUUAACUCCAAGCUCUCUUUUAGCCUGAUGACACUGACUGAACAGCAGGCUCAGUUUGUUUAGAGCAAAACACUCACAUAGCUCUAGUUCGCAUGGCGACAGCAGAGGUCACAAGCCCAGGAGAGGAUAUCAAAGGCAGGGCCAGGAGAAAGUCGCAUGGAGCUGCCUCCUACUCCUCACUGCCCAACUUGGCUUGGGAGUUCUGAGCCCCAGGGACAUUUCCUUCUUGCCCUUCUUUUUGAGAUUGUGCUGGGAGGAGGGGAGCAUGGGGGACAGCACUCAUGGAAUUCACUUGGUUACUACAUUAAUUUGCUCUUGUAUUAAGAACUAUAGAACUUUUAAUUUUGGAGAUGGAAUGUUCCCAGAUGAGGAAACUGAGGCUCAGAGGGAUUUGCCUAAAAUUACAGGGCUGGUGAGGGAUAGCUGGAAGAGGCACCCAGGUCUCCUAAUUCCCAGCCCAGACUCUUUCCACGACACCGCUGCAGCACUUGCCUCCAACUUUCCGUUGGCCUUCCUCCCAUGCCUGGCUCAUUUCCCUAUGAGGUCAUAAGAUCUGGGAAGGCAGGCUUGGCCUUCUUAUCUGGACAUCCCCCAGAGCCUGGAGCAAAGGUCUAAACAGAGGGAGGGGUACUCAGAACUCUCAGUCUCCCAGGCUCCCCAUUUGUCUCUCAUCAUGACUCGAUUUAUCUGCACGCAGCUCCCUGGCCCAACCCAAAGAGUCAGCCCUGGAUUGUGGACCAAGCCCUAGGCGAGGCACGUCCCAGUCCCAGCCAGACCUAAAACCUGCUCUGUGACUUUGAACAAGCUGAUUAACCUCCCUGGACCCUAAGUGCUCCAUCUGUCAAGACCCAUCACCUAUUCUAAUUCCCAGGGCAUUUUUAACUUUUUAACUUGAAACCCCAGGUUCACAAGUGUUUUUAACAGAUAGAACUCCUAGGUAAGAGGAUAAGCUUAAUGUUUUCUGACUUUCUGCAAGAUCCCACAACCUUCGGACCAUAUCCUCCUGGUCUGCAGUACUGGGAUGCUGCUUAAUGGGUACUACAAUGCCCCUGGCACCAUCCUGGGGCCUGUGAGCAUCACAGGGAUUUGUAACCUGAAUAUAUUCGGGGGUUCUGCAACCCAAAUACCAAAAGUAAUUUCAAAAAGGUAUUCCAGAGUUUACUUGUAUCUCCUGAAGGUGAUACAGUUCAUAAUCUACAGCACCCCUUCCCCUACUCUUCUGCUGCACCUUGUGGUAGUUAAUCACUCGCUGCAAUUCCCAAAUCAGCCCGUCUCUCUGCUCCUCCCUCUCCCUUGCAGACACCAGAGCUUUCCUGUCUCUCUUUGCCAACUGUCAGCUCCUUAUUAAGUGAAUUGGCUUAGCCUCUCAGGUUUCCGUUUUUCCCCUUUCCUUCAUCCAUUAGCCAGAUUCUCCCCAACACACAAGAAAGUUGACCUUCUCCUUCAGCCUCUCUAGUCCUCUCUCUCACCGCCCAUUCUCCCAGGUCUGUAUUACAAAAGCUCUGGAACUUAGCAGACCAAGACAAGAUUUCCAACAACAGGUGAGGGCUAAAAUUAUCUUGGGAGUGAGGGGAGGCAGAGGAAAGCUGGGAACAGUCAAUGAUUAAUAAGUUUUUACCUUGUAAUAGAUAAUAUAGAUACCUGCCCUCAAGGGGCUUAUAAAUUGGGGGCCAUUAAAGAACAUGAAAAGACGGUAAAUAAUUAAAGGAUCAGUGCAGGUUGGAUUCUCAGGUAGACUUGGUGGAGAGAGAGGAAACAGGUACAGGGAGCACAGAGGACUCAAGAAAGCUUCCAGAAGGAGCAAAAGCAGGAGAUAUCAGAGAUCUUGGUGGGAAGGGGUCUCAAAGACCACCUACCUAGUUCUUAUUUUUUCUGAUGCUCAACUCCCUGUCAAGAAACCUGGCAAGCAGAAUUUCAGCAUCUUCUUGCAAACCUCCAGUAAUGGGAGCUUACUACCUCCCAAAGCAGCAUAUUUCAUUUAUGAACUUUUUUUUUAAUUUUUAUUUUUUAAUUAGAGAACAAUCAUGCAUAAAAUGUUGGAUUCCCAUAUAACCUAUUAUGAACAUGUUUUUCCUUCCUUUGAGCUGAGCUCAAUCUCCUGGUGAUCUCCACUUAUUAGUCCAUGUACGACCUCCUGGUGUCACAAUGUCAGUCUAAUGACUCCCGACUCAUCUCCUCUUCUCUAGCCUAACCAUUUCCAGUUCAUUAAACAGUUCCUCCCAUGAUGACACCUGACCAACUGAGAAGAGAGCAUGACAAUCAAUCAUCUCCUUUAUUUGAGAUCCUAUAUCUCUAUUAAUGUAGCUUAUUAUUGAAUUCACUUUUGGCCAUUGAUGAUCAUCACCAUGAUGAUGACUCAAACGGAAUGUAUUAAAACUCCUGAGUCUUUUUCA